rnacentral:misc_RNA from 1 species
GAUGAAGAACGCAGCGAAAUGCGAUAAGUAAUGUGAAUUGCAGAAUUCAGUGAAUCAUCGAAUCUUUGAACGCACCUUGCGCUCCUUGGUAUUCCGAGGAGCAUGCCUGUUUGAGUGUCAUGAAAUUCUCAACCUUUUCAGCUUUCUUUGUUGAUCAGGCUUGGAUGUGGGAGUAUGCGGGCUUCUCAGAAGUCGGCUCUCCUGAAAUGCAUUAGCGGGACCUUUGUUGCCUGGCUUUGGUGUGAUAAUUAUCUACGCCAUUGUAGUCAAGCAGCUUAAAAUGAGGUUUCAGCUUCUAACCGUCUCCCCUGAGACAACUUUUUGACAAUUUGACCUCAAAUCAGGUAGGACUCCCCGCUGAACUUAAGCAUAUCAAUAAGCGGAGGA